AACAGUCUUUCUCAGUGUAUCUCCCAUUGACAUUGAGUUCUCCUACAACAGCAGUAACCUCGGUAAAUGCCGAGGUUUUU
rnacentral:ncRNA from 1 species